rnacentral:lncRNA from 1 species
AUGGCACAGCCCACCUUGGACUUCAAGCCUGCGAAGUUGGACUCGGAGACUGCGAUGUUGAGCUCCUCGUCUCUGCCGUUGGACUCCGAGGCUGCGGUGUUGAGCUCCUCGUCUCUGCCGUUGGACUCUGAGGCUGCGGUGGUGGACGCCAAGGCUGCGUUGGAAUCCGCCUUCAGCCAAGAGACGAACAAGUCCCUGUACCCGCCGGCAGUGGACAACCCCUUUACGCAGCACACGCAUUUCAGCGCGUGGCGCUGGGCCUACAUCGUCCUCAUGGGGACCGUGUUGGUGCCCGUGCGGGUGUCUUGCAUUGCUUUCCUCAUCAUCUUCCUCUGGCCCAUGGCUGCGCUUUCCACCAUAGGCCGUCGUGCUCAACCAACCGAGCCGGCCAAGAAGUGGAGAAGACUGGCGCAACCAACUCUGAAGUUCUUCUUUCAGGUGACUUUUUUUUUAGCAGGGUUCCUGGUUAAAGUGAAAGGGAAAAAAGCAACCCGAGAUGAGGCCCGCAUCUUUGUGGCAGCCCCGCACUCCAGUUUCUUUGAUGUGAUCGCCUGUGUCGUGGCAGGGUUACCCUCGGUGGUCUCUGCGAGUAAGAACGCGAAUAUCCCGGUGGCUGGGAAAUUCUUAUUGUCGACGCAGCCGGUGCUUGUGACCCGAGAGGACCCCAAUUCCAGGAAGACCACCCGGGAGGAAAUCCUGAAGCGAGUGACAUCUAACAGAAAGUGGCCACAGAUCCUGAUUUUCCCGGAAGGAGUGUGUACCAACCGCAGCUGUCUGGUCACUUUUAAACUAGGGGCUUUCUCUCCAGGGGUGCCUGUGCAGCCAGUGCUGCUCAGGUACCCAAACCCCCUGGACACGGUGACCUGGACCUGGCAGGGGUUUACAGGUUUCCAGGCCUGUAUGUUGACCCUGAGUCAACCAUUCACCAGGGUAGAAGUUGAGUUUAUGCCUGUUCAUAUUCCAAACGUCCAAGAGAAAAAAGACCCUGUCCUUUUUGCCAAUACAGUGAGGAUCAUCAUGGCCAAUGCUCUUGGGGUGCCCGUGACAGACCACACUUACGAAGACUGCAGACUGAUGAUUUCUGCAGGUAACCUUCAACUACCCAUGGAAGCUGGUUUGGUGGAAUUUACAAAAAUUAGCCAGAAUUUAAAGUUAGAUUGGGAUAAUAUUCAUCAGUACUUGGAUAAAUACGCUGAAAUUGCAGUUGCCUCCAAAGGAGGGAAGGUAGGAAUCGAGGAGUUUGCAAAUCAUUUGAAACUCCCAAUUUCAGAGCCCUUGCAACAACUUUUUGCCCUCUUUGACAGGAAUCACGAUGGCACCAUAGACUUCAGAGAGUAUGUGAUAGGUCUGACCGUCCUGUGCAAUCCUGUCAACACUGAAAAGAUUCUGCAAAUGUCAUUUAAGCUUUUUGAUCUUGAUAAAGAUGGUUUCAUAACUGAACAGGAAUUAGCGGCUAUACUUCGGGCAGCUUUUGGAGUACCAGAUCUUGACGUUUCCACACUCUUUCGGGAGAUAGCUGGACCAAAGUCAGACCACAUUUCAUACAGGACCUUUAAGAAAUUUGCCCUGAAGCAUCCAGUAUAUGCCAAGUUAUUUAGUUCAUACUUAGACCUCCAGGCAGCCUAUGUAUAUUCAUUACCACAGCCAGUACAGGCUUGA